AAUGUCGGGAACUCCAGGGAGACUGCCGGUGAUAAACCGGAGGAAGGGGGGGACGACGUCAAGUCAUCAUGGCCCUUACGAGUAGGGCUACACACGUGCUACAAUGGCGCAUACAGAGGGCUGCCAACCAGCGAUGGUGAGCGAAUCCCAAAAAGUGCGUCGUAGUCCGGAUUGGAGUCUGCAACUCGACUCCAUGAAGUCGGAAUCGCUAGUAAUCGUGAAUCAGAAUGUCACGGUGAAUACGUUCCCGGGCCUUGUACACACCGCCCGUCACACCAUGGGAGUGGGCUGCAAAAGAAGUGGGUAGUUUAACCUUUCGAGGAGGACGCUCACCACUUUGUGGUUCAUGACUGGGGUGAAGUCGUAACAAGGUAGCGCUAGGGGAACCUGGCGCUGGAUCACCUCCUUAUACGAUGAU
rnacentral:rRNA from 1 species